AUUGAACGCUGGCGGCAGGCCUAACACAUGCAAGUCGAGCGAGCGGCGGACGGGUGAGUAAUGUAUGGGGACUGCCCGAUAGAGGGGGUUAACUACUGGAAACGCUGGCUAAUACCGCAUACUAUCGGAUAACCCAUAUGGGAUUAGCUAGUAGGUGGGGUAAAGGCUCACCUAGGCGACGAUCUCUAGCUGGUCUGAGAGGAUGAGCAGCCAGAAUGGGACUGCGACACGGCCCAGCCUCCUACGGAGGCAGCAGUGGGGAAUAUGGCACAAUGGGCGGAAGCCUGAGGCAGCCAUGCCGCGUAGAUGAAGAGGGCCUUAGGGUGGUAAAGUACUUUCAGCGGGGAGGCGUUACCCGCAGAAGAAUCACCGGCUAACUCCGUGCCAGCAGCCGCGGUAAUAC
rnacentral:rRNA from 1 species